AUGGCGGCCAUUGCCACAUGGAGUUGCAGUUUUUGCAUGCUGCUCUGUGUGGCCAUGGUGAAAAUAGCUCUGACUACUUUUGCUAUCUCUCACCUCAUGCUUUUGGCUUCCCUUCCCCCUCUCACUAGUGCAUCUUUGAUAGAUGGCACUUCUCUCUUGGUAUAUCCUAUCUUUGGAAGCUACCUUUCUCUUUCUUUCUCUGUGCUUUUUAAGUUCUGUAAUUCCUUACUGCUUGAGUCUCAAUUCCUCUCCGUUCUGCAUAUCUCUCUAUUCUCUCUGUCUAUCCCUCUCAAUUUCUUCUCUCUAUUGCUCUGUUUUAUAAAUAGUGACUUUCUAAGUCUCUGUUUUAUGAGCAGAAUAUCCUAUGUUCCUCUCUUUUCAGUCUCUAUUCUGUGA